rnacentral:ncRNA from 1 species
AAGAGGAAGGGCGUAGUAAUCGACGAAAUGCUUCGGGGAAAUGAAAAUAAGCAUAGAUCCAGAGAUUUUUAUAUAGGGAAACCCUUCGAAUAUUGUUGCUGAAUCCAUGGGCAGGCAAGAGACAACGUGACGAACUGAAACUUCUUAAUAGCCAUUGGAAAAAAAAAAAAACAAUUUUCGUAGUAGCGGCAACCGAAAUGGGAGCGGUCCAAACCACGAAAAUGUAGUUGUUGGAGCGCAAUACAAACGUCGUGCCGUUGGGCAAAACA